GGAUGAACGGGUGGCGGUGCUCGAGGUUGGAGAGGACGGAGGGGAUGAGUGGCUCGAGGAUCUCGGGCUCCGACAGGCGGCAGAGGAAGCGGAGCGUGGCGCCGCGGAUGAACUCGUUGGGGCUCUGGAGGUUGUUGCGGAGGUUCUGGCAGAUGAGGAUCAUUUCAGGGAGGACACGGCCGCGGGCGUCGGUCUUGUCGAUGAUCUCGAGGUAGAGGAGGAGGAGCUUCUGGAUGGUGUGGUCCUCGGAGGGGAGGACGUAGCGGACGAUGGUGAUGAAGAGCUGGGGAAGGGUUUCGCCGUUGAGGAGGAGCAUGACGGCGCGCUUCAUCGCCUCGAUCUUGGCCUGG
rnacentral:misc_RNA from 1 species